rnacentral:lncRNA from 1 species
AGGGACUGAACCCACACCACAGCAGUGACCCAAGCUGCUGCAGUGACAACAUCACAUCCUUAACUGGCUGAGCUACAAGAGAACGCCCUCACGGUGUAUCUUAGGGGGGAAAAAAAGUGUGCUGAAAGGUUCUUCCUACUUUCCUCUUACCUGCUCAAGUUAACUACAAAUGCAGGCUAACUGCGUGAGUGGUACCUCCCUACCCCAACUUUAAAAUCUCACAUUUCUGGACAGGUGCCCCAAAUUUCAAUGUCAAAAAGAAAAUCUGACCUAUUUAUGGGAAAAACCCAGAAUAUGCUACCUGCCCUUACGAGGAAUAAGCCAUUUUAUCCUCUAACCUAGGACGGUCCCACGGGAGAAACCGAUACAGACUAACCAAUGGCAGAGAGCAUCUAAAUGCGCCAGUAGCAUGUGAUCUUGGACCAGCCCCCUUCCCUCUCUGAGCCUCAGUUUCCUAGAAUGACUUGAAAGGGCCAGGUGAGAAUGAGAUGAUCCCAAGACCCUUCUAACUUUAAAAUUACAUUCUACAGAGUAGAGUCUAUGACUUGGUGAAAAAGGAGACCUGAUAAGCUUCUUCUCCAUAAUUCAUACAAGAUGCAAAAACUGAGCUGCCUGGCAAACAUCUGAGAGCUCUUCCUGUGACCUUGUCUGCCUGGCCCAGCUAGUGGGCCAGGAUAAGCAGGCUAAGGAUCAAGCAGGGAGGUCCCUGUGUGCCCCCCACUUUCCCCUCCCCAAUCCAGCUGUGAGGUAACCGCCUCUGCUGACAUCUGGGCCGUUUCCAGCUCUUCAGAGAUUAAAGCAGCUCUAAGAAGUGUCAAGGAAAGCACUGUCUGCACCGAAUCAACUCCGAGGACACUCUCUCUAGGGAGAGCCUACCUCUCUAGGGAAGAGACCAGGAGUGAUCACAGCAGGGUCCCUGUUCCUUCCAAAUUCACCAGUUGGUUGUUUGGGUUUUUGGCUACCCCUCGGCAUCUGAUUUCCCAGGCCAGGGAUCAGAUCUGAGCCUCAGUCUGUGACCUAUGCUGCAGCUUUAGCAACACCAGACCUUUAACCCACUGUACCGGAUUACCCACCGUGCCAGGCCGGAGAUCCAGCCCACAUCACAGCACUGCAGAGAUCACUGUGCCACAGCGGGAACUCCAACCAGUUAUCUUGUUAUUAUUCUUCUCCCACAAAGUUCGAUUUAUUUGUUUGACUAUAAGAGAGCCACAUCCUCUGCACGUCAUUCUCAUGUCCUAAGACCUUCCAUGGCUCCCUCCUGAGAGAGGAUACACUGUCCCGCUUGAGCUGGACCCUCUGGUCUCACCCACGCCCCUCACCCUCCCGGCACACAGAAACACGGACUCCUCCCAAACACACGAUUCUCCUGUGUGACCCCAAGCCACUCGCUCAGGCUCCCUCUGCCUAGAAUGUCCUUCCUCGUCUCUGGAUAACCCCCGUCCACAGCUCAACACCCCCCGAAGCGAGCAGGCUUUACCACAUUGGACUGGACUCAGCUCUCCUUUCCUCCCCACUUCCCAGACUUUUUUUUUUUUUUUCUUUUUCUUUUUUUUAGGUCACUCCAGUAGCAUAUGGAAGUUCCCGGUCCAGGCGGUGAAUGUGAGUCACACCUGCAGUGCUGGAUCCUUAACCCACUGCACCACAGAGGGAACUCCUCUCCUUCUCAGACUCUAACUUUGCCACAGAUUUACAAAGCACCUGCAUAUACUUCCCACAGCAUAAUGAGACUGAACACACUGUAGUCUUUAUUGUUGCAGCCCGAUUUCUAGCAGUCAGAGGCCUUUAACAGAUGUUUGUUGCAUAAAAUGACCGAGCAGAUGCAACCCUGGCUCACGUGCAAAGGGUGGAGAGCCCUCAGUCAUCCACCCAAGUUUCAUCUGCCAUGUUGUCUAACUGGGACUCUGUCCAGGUAACAACUAGAUCUGUGACAAGAAUGUGCUGACUGAAGCUACAUGAGGUGUCAACCUCAUGACCACACCUGAAUGACGGACCCUGGGCCCAGGCGGCAUUGUAGCCGCUCCUCUCACGCUGGCAGGGUGGGACCUCAGGCAAAUCAAAUUCAAGAAGCAGAGUUCUGCAUGGUUAGACAGCUGUGUCUGAAAAAACACUUCCUGUUCUUAAAAUGAGCUUCAAGAGAGUCCUUAAAACAAAAAACAGAGAGUAAUCUUGACAAAUUGAAGGUCUGUGCCGAACAGGGUGGUUUGGUUUAUCAGCCUCGUUGGGAGAGGCUGGCUUCUGACAGGAUCUGGACAAGCAUCGCUACCAUCUCUGGCCACGCUUCCUAGACGCGGUUCACUCAUUCGACCGCCUUAUCUGCUCCAGGUCUAUCUCAUCAAACUUCCUCACCAACCACAAGCUACAGGCCCUAGGCAGGUCCACUUCCCAGACCAGAAAGUUCCCUCUGGCAGAAACAUCCCCUCCCAACUCCACGACACACCCACUCGAACCCCUCAGAGUCUAAAGCAGCCGCCUUGUCCUCUCUCGAGUCCUGAAUCCGAAGCCCUCACCCCCUCCGUGGCCCUCCGAGAGCACCACCGCGUCACUUUUUCUUUUUGCUGCACCUGUGGCACAUGGAAGUUCUUGGGCCAGGGAUCAAGCCCAUACCACAGCAGUGACAGUGCCAGGUGCCAUAAGGGAACUCCUUCCUGGAUUUUUAUAAAUUCUUUAGAGAAUUUAGAGUUCCUAAGGAACUGUAAAAAAAAAAGAUCUUACCUUACUUUUGCUCUCUGACCACAGAACUUGUCAUGUAUUUAGAGGUCAGUCGCACUGAAUCUGGAAACAGACUACUGGCACUUCAUUAAGUAGUCAAGAGUCAAAAGGUCAUCUAUUAAGCAAGACAUGGAGCUAAGUGACCCGGAUGCUCUGGUUCCCAGACCAGCAUGCUAGAACCAGUGACCCUUUUUUUUUUUUUUUGCCAUUUUCUUUGGGCCGCUCCCGCGGCAUAUGGAGGUUCCCAGGCUAGGGGUGGAAUCGGAGCUGCAGCCACUGGCCUACGCCAGAGCCACAGCAACGCGGGAUCUGAGCCGCGUCUGCAACCUACACCAUAGCUCACAACGCCAGAUUGUUAACCCACUGAGCAAGGGCAGGGAUCGAACCCGCAACCUCAUGGUUCCUGAUAGGAUUCGUUAACCACUGCGCCACGACGGGAACUCCUAGAGCCAGUGACUCUUAACAUGACGGGAGCUCACCUGGUCUUUACUAAAGGCUGUUCAGGAGUUCCUGCUGCGGUGCAGUGGGUUAAGAAUCUGACUGUGGCUCAGGUCACUGUGGGGACCCAGGUUUGAUCCCUGGCCUGACACAGUGGGCUAAAGGAUCCAAUGCUCCCGCUGCUUGAAGCUCAGGACACAGCUAUGGCUCCGAUUCAAUUCCUGGUCCAGGAACUUUCAUAUGUUGCAGGUGUGGCCAUAAAAAAAAGAAAGAAAAGUAUUUCCUGUUGUGGCACAGCAGAAACAAACCCGACUAGUAUCCAUGAGGAUGUCGGUUUGAUCCCUGGCCUCACUCAGCAGGUUAAGGAUCUGGUGUUGCUGUGAGCUGUGGUGUAGGUUACAGAUGUGGCUCAGAUUCCGCAUUGCUAUGGCUGUGGCGUAAACUGGCGACUACAGCUCCGAUUCGACCCCUAGCCUAGAACUUCCAGAGGCCGCAGGUACAGCGGCCCUAAAAAAGGCUGUUCAUUUAUUAAUUUCUUUUACUACCUCUUAUCUUUUCCAGCCCAGCCCCACUUUGGAGGGGAAAAAGGGGGGAGAGGAGAAUAUAUGAAUCAUUUUUUUCAGAACUAAAUUAUUAAAAAAAAAAUUUUUUUGGCUUUACCCAAGGCAUGCAGAAGUUCUCGGGCCAGGGAUCAAACUCACCCCACAGCAGCAAUAACACCAGAGCCUUAACCCACUAAACCAGCAGAGACUGCCUUAAUUUUUUAAGAUUGAGUCUUCUUGAAGUUAAUAAACAAUUAGAGUUAAGAAUAACUGAUAUGCUCCUUUUGUUUUCAUCUCUCUGGAAACAGUUAACAUGGAAAAACAGCAGCAAAUUAUGCACCUAAUUUGCUUCCUUAUAAAAUUUAGUUUCCAAGGAAUGCAUCGUAUGUAUCAACAUGUAACAACAGCUCCACUGUACAAGGGUUUCUGUCAGAUGCCCCAGUCUUUAAUGUCCAUGGUGUCCUGCCUCCCCGUGUCACGGGACUCACUGUGCUUCCUUCGGCUGGAGAGAACUCUCUAAAGGAUUGCAUGUGGGAGCAGCCCUUUAGGAUGAAAAAAGAACUUCCAACAUAAUACUGCAAAAGUUCCACUUGAGCAAGCCCCCCUGCUUGGGUUCAGCUUGCGGAUCGGAACCUACCAAUCCAGGGAGACAGUCCAGCGAGGCCCUGCUGAAAUUAACCAACCUAAAAGGCCCUCUUUGUCACCCCAGUGAAGUAGGACGAGUCAAUUCUAUACCAAGUGCUUUGGUCAGGCAAUAAUGGACUUUUCUUUCCUGCAGGAGAUCAGCUGACGUCAGUAGGUGGGAGCUCUGCCAAGUCACAACCGGCUGUCUCUGGGGAGCCUGGCAUCUGAAAGUCAUCAGCGCUCUCCGCGGCUGUGGGCGCUCAGGGUGUUCAUUUGCGUGACCACAGGUCACAGCAGCUCCCCCUCCCCUCUCUCUACACUUCCAGUUUCUUUUUGCUCCUCAAAGGGUCACUGCCACAGACCACCUUAAACACAGGAAAAGAUUUCACAUCGCCAAAGACCCGCUGCCACCCAACGUGCUACAACCUUUCCCCCACAGCUCUGGGAGGCAGCGGAAUGUUCUGGACGCUGCCAGUGUGCAACCCGUUCCGAGGUGGCGGCACACGGACAAGAACUGCACCCCAGGCCAGAAAUAUGCAGCUGACUGAUAAGACUCCAACGAGAAGGUUCCAGGCUGUUCCCAGCCUUAAUGGGAUUAACACCUCUUGAGAGCUACAAAGGAAGACGCUGGGAAAUGCGCCAUAAAAAAACCCAACCUCCAACCACAGCAGCCCAUCUAGCUCACAACCUCCAACCACAGCAGCCCAUCUAGCUCACAAGCCCGCAAAGGAGCCAAAUUCCAGGGCUACAAUCAACGGACUGACUGCUUAUCUCAAAGCAGUGGGUUAACCCUGAUUUUCUCAAUCAAACCUCCAUUUGUGGAGAAAGGCUGAAUGCAUUCUCUGUUCAAGGAUAGCUUCCCACUUGAGGAAACUGAAGGAAAAAGGUCGUAUUGUGGCAAAUCUUAUUAGGGAAGACUGGCUCUUUAUAAAUGCUGCAAUGCAGCGGUCAAAAUGUUAGCUGCAUCAUUCAGCAAGUGAAGUGAAUUGAACCCAGGGGAUAAAACAGGAAUUACAACUAUGUCCUCUAUUGUAAUAAAUAAAAAGAACUUGUCAGCAUUCUUACAGGACUGCUAGAUCUCUGCAAAGAAAGGGGGGUGUCUAAAGAUAGGAAUCUUGGCUAGAAAGUUCUAGUGUCACCGCAAGUCAAUGGCCAGGAAUCACUCCCCACAUCUAACACACGCUUAUACAUG